AACAGAGAAGAGUGAGGACAUAUGUGUAAGAGAAGAUUCUAGAAGCUCUUGAGGCAAUCCAUAUGAAAGUCAGUGAGGGGGGAGCAGCAGAGAAAAUCACUCU
ensembl:misc_RNA